rnacentral:rRNA from 1 species
AUUGAACGCUGGCGGCAGGCCUAACACAUGCAAGUCGAGCGAGCGGCGGACGGGUGAGUAAUGUAUGGGAAACUGCCCGGUCGAGGGGGAUAACUACUGGAAACGGUGGCUAAUACCGCCUACUCUCGGCUGAACCCAUAUGGGAUUAGCUAGUAGGUGGGGUAAAGGCUCACCUAGGCGACGAUCUCUAGCUGGUCUGAGAGGAUGACCAGCCACACUGGGACUGAGACAUGGCCCAGACUCCUACGGGAGGCAGCAGUGGGGAAUAGUGCACAAUGGGCGCAAGCCUGAUGCAGCCAUGCCGCGUGUAUGAAGAAGGCCUUAGGGUUGUAAAGUACUUUCAGCGGGGAGGCGGUACCCGCAGAAGAAGCACCGGCUAACUCCGUGCCAGCAGCCGCGGUAAUAC